rnacentral:rRNA from 1 species
GUGUAUUGCGGCGUGCUUACCAUGCAAGUCGAACGAUGAAGCUCUAGCUUGCUAGAGUGGAUUAGUGGCGCACGGGUGAGUAAUGUAUAGCUAAUGUGCCCCUUAGAGGGGGAUAACAGUUGGAAACGACUGCUAAUACCCCAUACUCCUUCUUCCUAUAAGAGAAGUUGGGAAAGUUUUUUCGCUAAGGGAUCGGGCUAUAUGGUAUCAGCUUGUUGGUGAGGUAAUGGCUCACCAAGGCUAUGACGCCUAUCUGGUCUGAGAGGAUGAUCAGACACACUGGAACUGAGACACGGUCCAGACUCCUACGGGAGGCAGCAGUGGGGAAUAUUACACAAUGGAGGAAACUCUGAUGUAGCAACGCCGCGUGGAGGAUGACACAUUUCGGUGCGUAAACUCCUUUUAUAUGGGAAGAUAAUGACGGUACCAUAUGAAUAAGCACCGGCUAACUCCGUGCCAGCAGCCGCGGUAAUACGGAGGGUGCAAGCGUUACUCGGAAUCACUGGGCGUAAAGCGCGCGCAGGCGGUCUUUUAAGUUGGAUGUGAAAUCCUAUGGCUCAACCAUAGAACUGCAUCCAAAACUGAAAGACUAGAGUCUGGGAGGGGAAGAUGGAAUUAGUGGUGUAGGGGUAAAAUCCGUAGAGAUCACUAGGAAUACCAAAAGCGAAGGCGAUCUUCUGGAACAGUACUGACGCUGAGGCGCGAAAGCGUGGGGAGCAAACAGGAUUAGAUACCCUGGUAGUCCACGCCCUAAACUAUGAAUGUUAGUCGUCGGGGGGCUUGUCUUCUCGGUGAUGCAGCUAACGCAUUAAACAUUCCGCCUGGGGAGUACGGUCGCAAGAUUAAAACUCAAAGGAAUAGACGGGGACCCGCACAAGUGGUGGAGCAUGUGGUUUAAUUCGAAGAUACGCGAAGAACCUUACCUGGGCCUUGACAUUGAUAGAAUCUGCUAGAGAUAGCGGAGUGCCCUUCGGGGAGCUUGAAAACAGGUGCUGCACGGCUGUCGUCAGCUCGUGUCGUGAGAUGUUGGGUAAGUCCCGCAACGAGCGCACCCUCGUCACUAGUUACUAACGGUUCGGCGAGACUCUAGUGAGACUGCUUCGUAAGGAGGAGAAGUGAGGACGACGUCAAGUCAUCAUGG